AUGCGGCGAUUCCUGCAGCUGCGGCUGCUGCUGCCACUGCUGCUGGGACCCAGCCCUGGGUUUGGGGCUCUGAUCUCGCAGUGGCCGAGCAGAGGUAUCUGGAAGAGCGGAACCACGGUGAAGAUCCAGUGUUACCAGAACGACAGUGACCCCACUUACCUGUAUUGGUACCGGCAACUGGCGGGGCAGGAUCUGGUGCUCAUGGCCUCUGCCAACCUGGGUUCCACAGCCUCCUACGAGAAGGGGUUCGAGGAGACCAAGUUCCCCAUCCAACGCCCAGAACUGAGGUCUUCCUCACUGGAAGUCCUUAAUGAGCUGGAGCAGCAAGGGCAACCCCGGCCAAAGAAGUCCCAGGCCCGGGAUCUCCCUGCCUUCACUUCGAAGGACAGUGAGCAGCAACUCUGGGCCCCAAGCAAGCGUUGUUUGUGGUGGUUUGCCUCCUGGGAACAGGUGAGUCCUGGGCACAGAGGGGAAAACCCCCAGCUGGGCUGACUGGGCCCCAGCGCCAGUCCUUUCCCUGGCAGCCUCUGGCCCCAGGGCUAG